AAAUUGAAGAGUUUGAUCAUGGCUCAGAUUGAACGCUGGCGGCAGGCCUAACACAUGCAAGUCGAACGGUAACAGAAAGCAGCUUGCUGCUUUGCUGACGAGUGGCGGACGGGUGAGUAAUGUCUGGGAAACUGCCUGAUGGAGGGGGAUAACUACUGGAAACGGUGGCUAAUACCGCAUAACGUCGCAAGACCAAAGAGGGGGACCUUCGGGCCUCUUGCCAUCAGAUGUGCCCAGAUGGGAUUAGCUAGUUGGUGAGGUAACGGCUCACCAAGGCGACGAUCCCUAGCUGGUCUGAGAGGAUGACCAGCCACACUGGAACUGAGACACGGUCCAGACUCCUACGGGAGGCAGCAGUGGGGAAUAUUGCACAAUGGGCGCAAGCCUGAUGCAGCCAUGCCGCGUGUAUGAAGAAGGCCUUCGGGUUGUAAAGUACUUU
rnacentral:rRNA from 1 species